UACGUAGGUGGCAAGCGUUGUCCGGAUUUACUGGGUGUAAAGGGAGCGCAGGCGGGAAGUUAAGUUGGAUGUGAAAUACCGGGGCUCAACCCCGGAGCUGCAUCCAAAACUGAUUUUCUUGAGUGGAGUAGAGGUAAGCGGAAUUCCGAGUGUAGCGGUGAAAUGCGUAGAUAUUCGGAGGAACACCAGUGGCGAAGGCGGCUUACUGGGCUCUAACUGACGCUGAGGCUCGAAAGCGUGGGGAGCAAACAGG
rnacentral:misc_RNA from 1 species